rnacentral:rRNA from 1 species
UACGAGGGGUGCGAGCGUUGUUCGGAAUUACUGGGCGUAAAGGGCGCGUAGGCGGGUCAGUAAGUCGAUUGUGAAAGCCCUGGGCUUAACCCGGGAAUGGCAGUCGAAACUACUGAUCUUGAAUGCUUGAGAGGAUGGCGGAAUUCCCGGUGUAGUAGUGAAAUACGUAGAUAUCGGGAAGAACACCUGAGGCGAAGGCGGUUCGUCUGGGACGGUACGUGACGCUGAGACGCGAAAGCGUGGGGAGCGAACGAGGAU